AGGUGACGGUGUUGAGGUAGAGGUGACGUGUUGAGGUAGAGGUGACGUGUUGAGGUGAUGGUGGUGAGGUAGAGGUGACGGUGUUGAGGUCGAUGUAAUGGUGUUGAGGUAGAUGUGUUGAGGUAGAGGUGACAGGGAUGAGGUAGAGGUGAUGGUGAUGAAGUAGAGGUGAUGGUAGUGAGGUAGAGGUGAUGGUGUAAAGGUAGAGUGAUGGUGUUGAGGUAAUGUGAUGGUGUUGAGGUAGAUGUGACAGUGAUGAGGUAGAUGUGUUGAGGUAGAAGUGAUGGUGUUGAGGUAGAUGUGUUGAGGUAGAAGUGAUGGUGUUGAGGUAGAUGUGAUGGUGUUGAGGUAGAAGUGAUGGUGUUGAGGUAGAUGUGUUGAGGUAGAAGUGAUGGUGUUGAGGUAGAAGUGAUGGUGUUGAGGUAGACGUGUUGAGGUAGAAGUGAUGGUAGUGAGGUAGAGUGACGGUGUUGAGGUAAUGUGAUGUGUUGAGGUACAUGUGAUGGUGUUGAGGUAGAAGUGAUGGUGUUGAGGUAGAUGUGUUGAGGUAGAAGUGAUGGUGUUGUGGUAGAUGUGAUGGUGUUGAGGUAGAAGUGAUGGUGUUGAGGUAGAUGUGAUGGUGUUGAGGUAGAAGUGAUGGUGUUGAGGUAGAUGUGUUGAGGUAGAAGUGAUGGUGUUGAGGUAGAAGUGAUGGUGUUGAGGUAGAUGUGAUGGUGUUGAGGUAGAUGUGUUGAGGUAGAUGUAAUGGUGUUGAGGUAGAUGUGAUGGUGUUGAGGUAGAAGUGAUGGUGUUGAGGUAGAAGUGAUGGUGAUGAGGUAGAUGUGUUGGUGUUGAGGUAGAUGUGAUGGUGUUGAGGUAGUGUAUAUGUAUCCAAGCUGUCUCUCUCCAGCUCACACUUCAUAAUAUCCCUGUAGGACUAAUAUCUAAACAUGGUAUACCUCUGACAUCUGUUCUGUUUACUGGUAUCUCUUUCCAUAUAUGUGUGUGUGUGUGUGUGUGUGUGUGAGAGAGAGAGAGAGACAGAGAGAGAGAGAGACACAGAGAGAGAGACACAGAGAGAGAGAGAGAGACACAGAC
rnacentral:lncRNA from 1 species